UACAGAGGGUGCAAGCGUUAAUCGGAUUUACUGGGCGUAAAGCGUGCGUAGGCGGCUCGCUAAGUCGGAUGUGAAAGCCCCGGGCUCAACCUGGGAAUUGCAUUCGAGACUGCGUAGCUAGGGUGCGGAAGAGGGAAGCGGAAUUUCCGGUGUAGCGGUGAAAUGCAUAGAUAUCGGAAGGAACACCAGUGGCGAAAGCGGCUUCCUGGUCCAGCACC
rnacentral:rRNA from 1 species